UUUUUUUUUUUUUUUUUUUUUUUUGAGAGAGAGAGAGAGAGAGAGACCGACCUGUGUGGGGAUGGAGGAAGGGCUGAGGGAGAGAGAGAAUCUCACCCAGACUCCAUACCCAUCAGCGAGCCCAAUGCAGGACUUGAUCCCAGAACCGUGAAGUCAUGACCUGAGCCUAAAUCAAGAGGUGGACACUUAACCAACUGAGCCACCCAGGCGCCCUCAGAGCCUGUCCUCAUAACUAUGGUGAGAAGAGCCGAGACAGCUGUAGUUCCUCCGUACUGGGGGACGUCAGGUAGCAUAUGGGUGGAUUUUUUUGGCUACAGGCCCGGGAUCAGGCCAGAUGAUUGUCACAAUGCCAGUUCCUGCUCAAAGCACUCUUCUGGCUCAGAACCCCAUCCCGGCCCUUGAUAUGAUCACUUAGCCAUGGAGGGACAUGAUCCCAGUCUGUCCUGCCUUCCACUUUAUUUGCAGAGCUUAACUCAUAUUGGUGCCCAACCAGUGUUUGUUGAAGAAAUUAUUCAAUGGUUCAAAAAGCAAUGGAAUAAAUACAUGCCUGCAGACUAUCUUCCGGAUUCCAGAGAGUGGUCAGCUCAUGGGCUCCUACUGAUAAGAAGUGUUUUUGCUGAAGUUAUGUCUCUGUCCCAGGGAUUGGUGAACAGAAAGGAGGGGCCUCAUCCACACUAGCUUGUUCGCCCAGUCUGCUGGAGUGGUUAUGGCUACUCAUGAUUCCCUGUUUUUUUAGUGAGCUUUUGGAGCUCAAUACUCUACCCUAAACAUCAUGGUAUAAAUGAUAAUCAUUUUAUCAUUUCUCAUGAUUUUGAGAAAUGAUCCCAUCCCAUCAUGGCUGGUGGGGUGGUUUUUCUGGUUGUGGGCCAACUCAGCUGAUGUCUACUCAGCUGGCAGCUCAGCAGAGGCAGCCUGUUCUGGGAUGAUGGCUUUUGCAUCUGACAGUUGGCUCUGUGUCAGCCAGGGCAGUGGGCAUGACUCAACCAUGUGACUGUCAUCCGGCAGUUCACGGAGCAGUGGUUGCAGGGUUCCCAAAGCAGCACGAGAGCAAACUCCAAUGUACCAGUGUUUUUCAGCUUCUGUUUGUGUCACGUCUGUUAAUGUUCCCAUUGACCAAGAGAACUCCUAUGGGCAAGGCCGGAUACAAAGAGUAGAUGAGUUAACUUUCAUGUUAAUGAUAGGAGCCAUAAAGUCAUAGUGUGAAGGGGUGCAUCUAUCAGGGUAGGCGACAUUUGUGACUAUUCCCCACAGCCAUACCUGACCCUCUGGGUCCAACUGUCCAAAGAGUCCUUUUUGCUGGUGUCAUCUUCUGCAGAUGGGCCCUGUUUUCCAUCUUCCUCAUGCUAUCCCAGUUGAAGUUUCUGGCUUUGCUCAGAUCUGCUCCUGAUGCUCCUAUUGCAUCCAGUUUUUAAAUAUUCAGACAUCGACUCAGUGUGGACUGGGGUUUUCCCCUAGACUUGGCUUUUGUGAAGUCCUGACUGUUCUUGUGUGGACCAUUGUUUUGGCUUCCUUUUAUCCAUCUGUCCAUCCAUGCAUCCACCCAUGUGUGCAUCAUCCAUCCAUCCAUCUACUCACCCACCAUCCAUCCGCCCAGCCAUCUAUCCAUCAUCCAUUCAUUAUCCAUCCAUUCAUGCACCUAUCCAUCCAUCAUCCAUCCUCCAUCCAUCCAUCCAUCCAUCCACCCAUCCACCUAUCCAUCCAUCAUCCAUCCAUCCAUCCACCCACCCAUCCACCUAUACAUCCAUCUGUCCAUCUAUCUAUCCAUCCAUCUCUCUUCCUUCCAUCCAUCCUUAUGUUCAUUUGGUGCAUAUGAUUCCUCUUUAAGGGUUGUGUGGGCAUCUGUAUAAGAGCUUUGUUUAACAGGGAGACAGAUGUGAACCCAAGUGAAGCAGUAUGGGAGCAUCAAGGUGGAGGGGCUAAUCCCCCCCCAGCACCCCUUUAGCAUCCCAUACUUCCCUCAGCACUCACAAACAUGUUUGUGUUUUUUCCUGUGUUUCCCACUAAACUAAAAUUUCUUUGAACCCAGGGACCACAUUUGUCUAAUUUAGUGUUGUAUCCUUAUCCUCAGCACAAUGUCUGCAUAGAGGACAUAUUUCAUAAACAUUUUGUUGAGCUGAAUUGAACGGAAAGCUACAGAAAAGAGAUGUUUCCACUAGGCUCCAAACAAUAGCAAAUAACAUUGAAUCCACAGCAACUGUGAUUAUAGCUGGGGUUAUUCUCAUUUUAUAAGUGAGGAAACAGGUCCAGGGAGGUUAAGUGAAUUGCUCUAGAUCACACAGAUGUUAAAGGGAUGGAGCCAGGUUUCUGGUCGUAGAGCCUGCAUGCAUCUCACUAACAAAUUACUGUCAAAUAGGAAGAAAAGCUGGGGAAGAAAGAUCCAGCCUCUUUUAUUGAUGACUCACUCAUAAUUUUCAGCAGAUCCUUUCCGCAUUUCUGAAUCCUGCCUUGCUAUUCACUCAUCCAUCAAUUCAUCCAUCCUUCUUUCCAUCCAUACGUCCACCUAGUCAUCCAUCCAGCAAAUGUUUAAUGAACUCUUGAUUCUUUUUAUUCAUAGCUGAAUCCCCAGCACCUGGAAAUGUACCUCGGAUGUAGUUGAUGCUUGAAUGUAUGUUCUGGGCAGUUGGAAGGCAGUAUAGGCAUAGUGAUAAUUAGAACCUGGACUCUGGAGCCAGUUUGUUGUGGGUUCCAGUGCUAGCUCCACCGUAUAUCAGCUGAGUGACCUUGUACAAGUCAUCCAGCCUCUACCUUGUCUUACUUAUCUUUAUAUGGGGCUAAUGAUAGUACCUGUCUCGUGGGAUCCUUGAGAGUGAGGCGCACUGAUACACAUGCAUGUAUUGCGCCACUCACACAAUACUUCCUGACCUAUUAUAGAUCCCUUGUAGUGUUGCUGGUUUAUUAUCAUUAAGUAAGUGGAAUAAUGUAUUGAUCAAAUAAGACAAGGCCACUGCUGUCAUAGAGACUGCAUUUUGGAGACUUAGAUAACUAUCAAACAAAUAACCAGAUAACGAAGGCAAAGCCAGAUAAGCUAACUCUUCUGUAACUUCACUUUUGUUUCAAAUUGUUCCCUUGUUCCUAUCAUUGCUUUUUGGAUACCUGGGGGCAUGGAAGCCUUGCUGUCCUUUUACUUGUCUCCAUUAGAGGAGGGAGGGGACAGUGCCUCCUCAGUGUGGGGUUGGUCAUGGGGCGUCGAUGAGAAAGCCAAGCGGUGUCUUGGCGUCCCAAUACCUAGUCCAGUCUGUGUGUCCGUGCUGGCUCUGCAGACCUCGGCUCCUCCCUAGACACAGUCAGGUGCCUGCCCUCUGUGGAAUGCGCAGAAUGCAUUUCUGGCAAUCCCUGGGUAACUCACCCUUGUUUGUCACUGCUGCUAAGACCAUUCUGGAACUUGGGAACGGUACGCACGUGAAAUGUGACUGCAGACUUCGGCUCUGUUUCCCACUCUUCCAAAUGCUCUGGAGCCCAAGAGUGGAGAUUUCUGGCAUCUUUAAAUAUGACUGAAUUGCAAGUAUCCGCGGGUAAAGGAGACGUGGCCAUGGGGGUGUAGCUCAUGCCACCUGUGAGGGCUGUUGCCAGCAGUGUGAUCAGCAUACUCAGGGAUCCUGGGCGCCGGGAGCCAGGGUAGUAAUUUGUACCCCUGACUCCCUGCUUCCUUGCAGAUUGAUGGAUACAGAUAAAAUGCCCAACAGCAGGCACAUUAGGACCUAAGGCAGUAACUCAGGCAAGACUGCUACUCUUAGACUAAUGUUCCCUUUCUCUUGCAAAGAUUUCUGGAACACAGCUCAGAAAACCAAAGAAUUUCAGAAUUGGAAGGGAUAUAAAAACGCCACGAUGAAACCCAAAGCCAGCUUGAUCUAAGGUCCCUUCCAAUGAGACCUCCACUGUCUUUUCCCUCAUUCGCCAGCCACACUAAAUUCUCAACCAUUUCUAGAAAACACCCUGCUCUUUUUGCCUCUGACUUCUGACAUGCACGGUUUUUGCCUCCUGGACUACUGUUUGCAUGAAGAGCCUUUUAAUUGGAGAUGCCAGGAAAUCCAAUUCACACUGUCUUCAACAAAAUAAAAUAUAUCUAUUGACUCACAUAACGAAGGGUCCGUGGGUUGGUCUGGCUUCAGGUACAGUUUGAUUCAGGACAUAAAUAAUGCUAACAGGACCCAGCGUUUGGCCAUGCUUCUUGUGAGUGGCUCCAUUCCCAGGAUCUGUUGUUUUUCUUGGCAGCUUCAAGAUUCUUCUCUUGGAGAGUUACAAGAUGGUUCCAGCAGCUGCAGGCUUCACCUGCUUCUAGCACUGAAUGUGGUGGAAUCUGUACCUUUCUGCACCCCCAGUCAAUAUCCCCUUGUCUUUCAUUGGCUCUACUUAGACAAGGCCAUGGGAUGUCCUGACUGGCCUAAAACUCCAGAAGCUGUGGUCUCCCAGGGUCAUCCUACUCAAUGAGCAGUGUAGAGAAUGGAUAAGAAGUCUCCCAAAACAUAUUUCCAUGUUUUGGUAGAAGGAGGAAGGGUGGGUAGAAGGGACAAAGUAUCUGUGUCUUUAUUUUUGUGACUCCACUUAUUAUUGAUAUUUUUUCUUUUCUUUUUUUCUUUCUUUCUUUCUUUCUUUCUUUCUUUCUUUCUUUCUUUUCUUUCUUUUCUUUCUUCUUUCUUUUUCUUUCUUUAUAAAAAGAUUUUAUUUAUUUAUUAAUGAGACACACACACACACACACACACACACAGAGGGAGAGAGAGAGGCAGAGAGACAAGCAGAGGGAGAUGCAGGCUCCAUGCAGGGAGCCUGACACGGGACUUGAUCCCGAGUCUCCAAGAUCAGGCCCUGGGCUGAAGGUGGUGCUAAACCGCUGAGCCACCCAGGCCUCCUUCAUUAUUGAUAUUUUAUUUAUUUUUCCCUGUCUUCUCUCCAGGCUGACUUAAUCGCCUUAGCCUCCACGCUUCUCAUAGCAUGUGAGAGUAAGCUUUGUUUUUGUCAUAUUUUGGUGGUCCUUUGUGCAUCCCCAGCUGGGCUUUAGGAUCUCCCCAAGGGAACUCCUAUUGGAGUAGCCCCACCUACGAUUUUGUGCUGGGUAUAACGGUACGGAUUAGUAAAGGUUUCUUGAAUGAAAGGGUGAUAUCCUAGAUCGACCCUUAAUUUGAUGGCUGGAGUCCUCACUUUGAAACUCUAAAACCAUGCCUGUGCAUUCCUGGGGUCGCACGGUGCCCUAGCCAACUCCUCACAUGUCUUACCCUAUUCGGUGAUCGCCCUGGGUUGAACCAGGUCCCCCUCCAAAUGCAUGCCCCACGCAGAACUGGUGAAUGCCGCCUUGUUUGGAAACUGGGUCUUUGCAGAUGUAGUGAGUUGAGUCGAGGUCCUCCUGGCUUAGGGUGGGCCCUAAUUCAGUGGCUGGUGUCCUUAGAAGAAAUGAUGCAGAGACCUAGAAGAGAUGCCGCCGGAGGGAGGGAGGCCGGCCACGUGCAGACAGUGGCGGGAACGGGUGUAAUCACACAGCUGUAAACCAUGGAACCCCCCCGGAAACCAGGGAACAGCAAGGGAGUGUUUUUCCCUGGAGCCUUCAGAGGGAGCACCACCCUGCUUUCACCUGCCUGGCAGUCAGAACAAGGGAAAAUACAUUGCUGUUUUUUUUUUUUAAUAAAUUUAUUUUUUAUUGUUCAAUUUGCUAACAUAUAGAACACCCAGUGCUCAUCCCAUCAAGUGCUCCCCUCAGUGCCCGUCACCCAGUCACCCCAUCCCCCGCCCACCUCCCCUUCCACCACCCCUAGUUUGUUUCCCAGAGUUAGGAGUCUCUCGUGCUGUUGUCUUAAAGCAGCACCCUGUUUGGGGUACUUGCUAGGACAGCCCCAGAAAUCGAGCACUGUGGAGAUUCUUCCUCUAGGGAGUCGGUCCUGGUUCAAUAACUCGUUUCUCCAGCAGCUGCUGAUUCGGGAUUUAGCACGUGCCAGGCACUGGAGAGGUGCUGGGGACCCAGAUGGCGCAGGCUUUUGGGCCACCCAUCCCUUCGCCCUGUUCUCUGGCGAGUCCCCUCGUGGAGAUGGCUCCAGAGAGUGAGCUGAUGCUUGGGGAACAUGUCAGAUCUGGAGCCAGAUGGAGCUAGACUCCUCCUAUCCUUGAUCCUCACCAGAUGUGUGACCUUGGGCAGAGUGGCCUUUGACCUCUGUCUGUCUCCCUCAUCUGGAGUUGGGAUGGGGGCCGACUGAGGUAUUGUGUGCCAAAUAUUCAGCCCAUCGCCAGGCCUACAUCUGGCUGCUAUUUUGAUGGCUGCCUGAAGAAUUUGGAUGUAGAGGCCGAGUCUUUCUUUGUCAUGUCAGUUUGACCACAACCUGUGUGUUUGGAAGACCUCUCCCUUCCCUGGUUGCAUUUCCUUGGUGAUGCUCGCAAGUGCUAAUGUCUAUCAGAGCUACACCCGGACCUCUCACAGAAACGUCACCUCCCUUGCUCGAAGAGUUCUACUCCAAGUAAUGCAACCAGAAAGAUUCAACUUGCUGUGUGAGCCACGUCCCAUCGUAGACUGGUAUUGAGCUUGUAGGCAAUGAAAACCGGCCAGGUGCAUUCACACCUGCUGCCCCAUGAAGGGCUUGUCCAGAUGGUUGCUGGGCCCCAAGGGCAGGACCUCAUGUUUAUCUCUGUUACAUUUCAUGUUGUGUGAUUCAGCCUUCCGUACCAGCUGGUGGAGGUCUUCUGGGAUCCUGAUUCCAUUAUGUAGCAUAUUGCCUACAAGAUAAAGUCCCCACUUUGUAGUGCACACAGAUUUCUAUCAGCCUUUAUUCGAGGCCUCGAUAAAAAUGUUGAAUGUUGGGCCAAAGGCUGAGCCGGCCCUCCCCGCUGGCAGCGGUGAGGAAGACAGUCUCCUGGUGGUGUAUUAGGGCCCCAGGGGGUGGGCUCCGGAAAGGGCCACCAGCAUCCUCUGUCCUGUCUGCUUCAGGGAGAAACAACUCCCAGUGCUUUUCUGUCCCAACUCUUUUUGUUCUCAGAAAAGCCCCAGGCCACUGCAGAAUGAUUUGCGGGUGCCACUGUCUUCAACCGCUAAGCUGAGGUCCCUGGGGUUAACUCUAGACAUGACUGCAUCUAUCAGACCUUAAGGGGUCUGUUUGAUUCUGAAGGAUUCCAGAACUUCCUACAGCUUUAAGUGAUGUGCCUUUGGAUGAGUGCUGGACCCACAAUUUAGGAGACCACUGGAUAAUACGACUUGUCGCCGUAACUGCUCACCUUUAUCAAACACUUAGAGUUUUGGAGGGGCAGGCACAGUGCGCUGGCUCACUUGAUCCUUUCAACAAACUUUUGGGCUGGACACUAUGAUAGGGGGCCUCAGAAAGCUUAGACACGUUGUCCAAUAAGGUCAGGGAACUAACUGAUCAUUGGUAGUACAGUUAGUCAAACCCAGACCCGACUUCCCUGGGACUCCCGGCUACCCCAGGCUCCUCUCUUAGUGCCAGGCAACUUUUCUGUACAUUAACUCAGCAGGAUGUUUAUAUGAUUAAUCCAUUCAUGAAAUGCAUUUGCUUAAUGGCUGGUUUCCUUCACAAGACUCUCAGAUUCACUUGGCCAAGUACCGUGUCUGCUUGGCGUCCCCGUAGCCCAGCACCAUACCUGGCACUUGGCUAACACUCCAUAAAUAUUUGUUGAAGGAAGGGACGGCUUCACGCAAAUGUGCUUUAAUCCACUUCCAUAGGGUAGAAGGUGAACUCGAUGGAUGGUAUUUAUAUUGUGACAUGUGGCCGUCUCGGUGUAGCAGGGCUCAGCGUCCCAAAUGGGAGUAAACACUCUCCUCCCAGAGCACUGAGAAUUAAUUAAGGUUUGUGACACCCUUUAAAAUUCCUUACGAUAUAUGGCUGCUUUCAUCUGGCUAAGUGCAAGGCGGCAUUAUGGGGCCAUUACUGGGCCACGCUGCUAAUGGGCAUUUGUCAACCUCCUUCCCGUCCACCGUGUGCUAGACCCGUGCAUCCCCGGUAAUUGCUAAAUAACUCAUGGAGCACUUGAGUUGCUAAAUUAAUAGAUGAAAUAAUAGAAUGGAAAUAGGAACAGGCAUGUGGGAUGAAUAGAGCCAUCCCAACAAGGUUUUCCCUGCUCGUAUGUCUCUUAAAUAAAGACUACGCUUCUGGUUAGGAUUGCAAGAAUGGAUUUUUAUAGACUUUGGGAGAGUUCAGUGGGCUUGUGGGAGUUGUGGUGGCUAUAUUUGAUGGGUGGUCCCUGUAAUUCUGCCAGAAGUCCUGGGGGAUGAGGGGAGCGAGUCUACUCACACCGUGAUUUAACUAUAGACGGCUCACCCAUCAAGGAAGGAGGUAGGUGAGAAGAACCAGCUGGCUUUUUGAGUAGGAGCAAAAGAAUGAACCAAUAAUGGCUUUCCUGCAAUGAUUCAACUACGAGCAGGAAAUUUAGAGGCGGCUGGUCUCGAAGGAAAGAUAAAUAAGCAGCAACAGUUGAAGCCAGGACACAGGGGUGAGGACCCCGCUCAUCCCAUGAAAACCUCUUACAGACAAAGGAGUCUAACCCAUUCCACUUAGUGUCCAAGACCUUCAGCUUCAUUACGUGUUCACAUCCUUUUGCCUGUCAGUGCAAAUUAAAAUAAAUUUUGAAGAGGAAAACUUAACCCUAGAGUUUUGAAGUGAAAAAUUAAAUUAAAAAAAAAAAAA
rnacentral:lncRNA from 1 species